AGAAGCUUGCUUCUUAUCGAUUCGAGUGGCAAACGGGUGAGUAACGCGUAAGCAACCUGCCCUCUAGAUGGGGACAACAGCUGGAAACGGCUGCUAAUACCGAAUACGUUCUUUCUGUCGCAUGGCAGAAGGAAGAAAGGGAGGCUCUUCGGAGCUUUCGCUGGAGGAGGGGCUUGCGUCUGAUUAGCUAGUUGGAGGGGUAACGGCCCACCAAGGCGACGAUCAGUAGCCGGUCUGAGAGGAUGAACGGCCACAUUGGGACUGAGACACGGCCCAGACUCCUACGGGAGGCAGCAGUGGGGAAUCUUCCGCAAUGGACGAAAGUCUGACGGAGCAACGCCGCGUGAACGAUGACGGCCUUCGGAUUGUAAAGUUCUGUUAUACGGGACGAAUGGUACGACGGUCAAUACCCGUCGUAAGUGACGGUACCGUAAGAGAAAGCCACGGCUAACUACGUGCCAGCAGCCGCGGUAAUACGUAGGUGGCAAGCGUUGUCCGGAAUUAUUGGGCGUAAAGGGCGCGCAGGCGGCGUCGUAAGUCGGUCUUAAAAGUGCGGGGCUUAACCCCGUGAGGGGACCGAAACUGCGAUGCUAGAGUAUCGGAGAGGAAAGCGGAAUUCCUAGUGUAGCGGUGAAAUGCGUAGAUAUUAGGAGGAACACCAGUGGCGAAAGCGGCUUUCUGGACGACAACUGACGCUGAGGCGCGAAAGCCAGGGGAGCAAACGGGAUUAGAUACCCCGGUAGUCUUGGCCG
rnacentral:rRNA from 2 species